rnacentral:rRNA from 1 species
UACGUAGGGUGCAAGCGUUGUCCGGAAUUAUUGGGCGUAAAGAGCUCGUAGGCGGUUUGUCGCGUCUGCUGUGAAAACCCGGGGCUCAACUCCGGGCCUGCAGUCGAUACGGGCUGGCUUGAGUGCGGUAGGGGAGACUGGAAUUCCUGGUGUAGCGGUGAAAUGCGCAGAUAUCAGGAGGAACACCAGCGGCGAAGGCGGCGCUCUGGGCCGGAACUGACGCUGAGGAGCGAAAGCGUGGGUAGCAAACAGG